AUCUGGCUGAAGAGUCUGAAAUAGGACGAAACACAUGUCCCGGAU
rnacentral:hammerhead_ribozyme from 1 species